AGCGAACGCUGGCGGCAGGCCUAACACAUGCAAGUCGGACGAAGUCUUCGGACUUAGUGGCGGACGGGUGAGUAACACGUGGGAACGUGCCUUUAGGUUCGGAAUAACUCAGGGAAACUUGUGCUAAUACCGAAUGUGCCCUUCGGGGGGAAAGAUUUAUCGCCUUUAGAGCGGCCCGCGUCUGAUUAGCUAGUUGGUGAGGUAAUGGCUCACCAAGGCUACGAUCAGUAGCUGGUCUGAGAGGAUGACCAGCCACAUUGGGACUGAGACACGGCCCAAACUCCUACGGGAGGCAGCAGUGGGGAAUCUUGCGCAAUGGGCGAAAGCCUGACGCAGCCAUGCCGCGUGGAUGAUGAAGGUCUUAGGAUUGUAAAAUCCUUUCACCGGUGAAGAUAAUGACUGUAGCUGGAGAAGAAGCCCCGGCUAACUUCGUGCCAGCCGCCGCGGUAACAC
rnacentral:rRNA from 1 species